CCCAAACUCACCAACUCCGAUUACACCUAGGGUUGUGCAUCUCUGCCAGCCAAUUCGCCUCACCUAGGUGCUCCAAUUCAUAAUGAGACAUCAUCUAAAACAACUCCCAUUAUGCAGGUUUGCCUCGGGGCAAAACAAGGCAAUUUCGUCUCCUUCAAUUAAUGGAUUUGGGAAUGGUUUUUUUAUAAAAUUGGCAAGACAAGAAUCAUUAGCAGCAUCAUACGACUACUGGUAUGUCAUCAAUUGCUCCAAUUAAUGCCCCUAAUUGACCAAAUUUUUUAAUUUUAAUUUUGCCUUAAAUCGCAAGCGAAAUAAGGAAAUUCUUCCUCGUCCAGUUAACGAAUCUAGAGUUCUUUUUCCACCAAAUUGACUAAAAUCCUUCAACAACACUGGAGAAUGAUGGGUAUACCCUCAAUUGAUCCAAUUGUAUCACAAAUUGCUCCAAUUUUGGCUUCAAAUUCUACCCAUUCUACAUACAAAUGAGUUUCCAAUUUCUUCAGUUCCUGUUGGGUUUGAAUCGAUCUUCUGGUUUUGAUAUUUGGGUUGUGGCAAUUGCCUUAGAGAGGUGGUGCCCACGCACGUUGUCGGCGGCUAUGCCGACCGGCCUUUGUGCCCACCGCUAUGGGUAAGAGCUGGGAAAGAAGCUACCGGCUUCUAGCUUUUUAAUUUUUUCAUUAACUAACGGUCAGGUGGACGCUUUUCAUCCAUUUGGACGUCUACUGCAUAUUUAUAAAAGAUUCGAGACCUUCACUAACACAAAUUGAAGGUUAUUAUAAAGUUUACAAAAAUUGAAAACAUUGGGGACUGCUGUUGCAAUUUUUCCUAAUUUUUAAUCAAUAAUCAGCUAUGAAGGAUUAUGACCUUAAUUAUUGUUGGUACAAGUGCCCAAUAAUGUUAGGACCAAACUUUAAUUUAUAAUAUUAUGUUUAAUUUGUUAUAAAUAACUAUUUUGUUUAUUUUGAUUUAAUUGCUCAUUGCAUAUUUGAAUAAGCUAUUAAGGGCAAUCAAUACCUUUGUGACAAUUUAAGUUAUGUACUUGCGUAAAAAAAAUACAGAAAAUUUAAUAUAUUUCAAACGAAAAAGAUUUUGUCCUAGGCCAACUUAUAGAGGUUGACACUCUCCGGAUUGAAUGGUUACUUUGCCAGUUGGGAUACACGAUUUCUUUUAACCAUGUCGUUUGUCCAUUUUAGAGAAAUGACGACAAUACACUAGGACAAUGGAUCGAGUAAAUUGUUAAUUAGUUUAUAAUGAUCCAUGCUAAAAAAUUAAUAACACAAGGCUAUCUUAUGAAUUACAUUAAUUUAUUACUGGAUAAUAGUUACUGUUCAUGAACUAUAGUUCUUUUGAUAUGAAAAUGUAUGAUAUCAUUUAGUUAUGAUCAUCACAUCGAUAUGUUAGAAGUCAAUAGAAAUCGAAGUAUAGAGCACGAAUUUGCAUUCAAAUUUUAUCAAUUGGUUCAAUAAGUAAAUGCGUUCUCUUGUUUUCUCUAUAUAAUAGGUUAAAUCUGAGCUAUGUAUUUGGGAAGGCUCAAAUCAUUAAUUUUGUGAUCGUAUCAUGAAGAAACAAUUUAAGAAAACACAAGUUGCAAGUGCAACUAUGAGUAAAAGGGGAAAAUAGUCAUUUUUCCUUAUCUAAUUAUUCAAUAUUCAAUAGGGUAAUAGAUAUAGAUGAUGAGUCGAUUUGAAUAUAAAAUUAAUUUAUAAGUUCAAUUUUUGUCAUUAGUAAAAAAAUAAUAUAAACUAAAAAUAAUAUGGGAUAGUUUGAUUUCCUUGUCAAUGUAUAAUUAGUGCGAAUCAUGCUAUCCAAGGGAUCGAUGUGGUGCCCCACCUAUUCGAACAGGGCCGACUUGGCCCUAUUAGAACAACUGUACUCUAAUUAUAGCAGCAUAAAUUAUAUAAGUUCCAUUAGGUCCCUUUGAUAGAUUUAGUAUGAAUUCUGAACCUAAUUACAUAAGUAAUAAUAAUUCAGGACCUACAUCUUAAAAAUGGCAAAGUAGAAGUAGAUAUUACUUAAAACUCGAGGAAUGGGGAAAACAAGACGUAGCCUAUGGCUAGGGUAGGGCGGUGCUGUAGGCUUUUCCACGUUAUAGAGAAGAGAGAGAUUUGGGGCACAUCCGGCAAUUUACCUCCCUCACAAAGUUUUAGGAGCGGGGCGGUGGGGGCCCUCAAGAUUGGGGUUCAACCUUUUUUGGUAUCUUCUUUUCUUGUCUGAUUCUACAAUGUCGGUGUUCUUGAUUUAUUUUUUCUUGAGGCACCUAUUCCCGAAAUGUAAUUUAUUUUUUGAAAGUAUAUUGAAGAAAUUUUGAGGAUUGGAAGCUCGAAGUUUGAAUAUCAAUAUGCAUGAUUCAAGAACAUGAUUGAAGCAAUUGCUAUCCAAAUAAUAAUUCAAGAUUCAUGUUUGAUCACACUUCAAUUAAAUGUCGAAAUCGUUUGUGUUGGAUUUUUUGACCCAAAUUAUGUUGAAUUUUUGACAAAAAUAUAUUUUCAUUCAUUCUACGUAAUUUUUUUUAUCUUGUUUCCAUCUUUAUAGUAUUUUUUGGGUUUGACUUGAGAUCCUUGUAAGUACUAGACUCUUAUCACAAGUUUUAUAUGAUUAAAAUAUAGAAUAAUUGUGUAGGCACAGUUAUUGUAUUUGUUUUUUUCAUAUUGGUCAAUUGAAUGAAAUACUUCGUUUCUUUGCCUUUUAUCUUAUUGAUUAUUUACGAUCAUAUACUUCAUAUCAUGUCAUAUAUAUUAUCUCGAUCUGUUUCAUUUCCUAACAAGUUAUAUCAGAGUUAUUGAUUGUAAUUUGUUCAAGGUUUUUGUUAUUGAUGAUAGCUAUGAAGUAUGACAUUUUGCUCUUUGAUUGCAAUACAAGUUCUUGUUAUGACAAAUGAAAAUGGGAGCUGUAUUACACAGAUGGAUUUGGACGAUACAUUAUUGAGAUUUGACAAAAUGUCCACAACUUGGACAUGGAGGAGAAACAAUGGAAGAUCAGAAGGCACUUUUACAUUCAUCUUCAUCUCUCUAGCAAUAUUCUUGGGGAUGUUUUAAUGAGAAAACAGAAGCUGCGUUAUGGUUGAAAUUGAAAUAAUUAUACAUGAGUAAAAGUCUGACAAACAAAUUGCAUUCGAAAGAGAGCUUGUAUUCUCAUCGCAUGGUAGAAAGUGGAUCUUUGAAAGAUCAUUUGGCUAUAUUCAAGAGGAUCAUUGCUGAUUUGGAGAUUUUAGAGGUAAAGUACGAUAAAAAAGAUUUGGCCUUAAUCCUUUUGUGUUCGCUGUCCACUGCGUUUAGAGAUGCAAUCUUGUAUAGUUGUGAUACUCUU
rnacentral:lncRNA from 1 species